rnacentral:lncRNA from 1 species
CCUAGUUUCAAUGUUUUUUCCAAGACCUACACUAAGAUGGCUUUUACAAGCCCUACACUAAGGAAAGAAAAUACAAUUUGAGUUUCACUCAAUCAAUUCUUCAAAACUAAGAAAAAUAGAAGCCUAAUUGUCUAUUUAUACUUAUUACAAAAAAAGAUUAAAAUACCCUUAAUGAAGGGUGCUCCUUUGGAGUGUAAAAGAUGAGUAUCAAAAGACCAUAAUACCCCUAAGUUAAGGCGCCCUUAGAGUGCAUCCAAGGCUGCCUUGGAGUAUAUUCAAGGUCUCUCUUCACGUAUUAGCAAGUACACUCCCUUAGAUAAAUGCAACAUACUAUCACGAGCUUCCAUCUUCAUAAAUGGCGCCUUAUGUGUUUGGACUUGAAGAAUGGCGCCUCUUUCAUACUCUUAAAACCGAGGAUGGUUCAUUCUUCAAGGCUUAUGGUCCUCGGGUUAGUAUCAAGGCAAGCAUCCAAGCAACCUUCCACACACGAGAUUGCUUUAUGUCUUACUUAAAACGGGCCUUCAUUGCAUAUUCCUGUGCCUUUGGGGUGACCAAGUCUUGGGCCUUUAGGUGUUGGCCUCCAAAGAAGUCAUCCAAAGCUAAGACGACCAUUUGACUUAUAUCAUCCUCCCCUUCUUGAAAAGGAUUUGACCUCGAAUCCAAACCUUGCAAAACCAAAGAGAGGACAAACAAAUACAAAAUCCUCAUGGCAUGAAGGUUAGGAUUAGCACAACAAAUCAUCUCAACAUGCCAAGGUUGCACAUAUUUCCAAUAUAACCAAGGAUCUUUUGAAUCAAAUAUUAAGAGUCCAAUGAAAGAUGCACAAAGUAUUUGGUUAUGGGAUUCACCAAAAGUGAUGCUUCGUUUGUCAUGUAGACCAAGCAACAAGUUGGGUGCACCAAUAUCAUCAAUUCUAUAUUUGGCACCGGGGUUAAACAAGAAGAAUGACCAUAGACACGGGUCUAGAAAACAAUCCCAUUUCCCAUAGGCUUCACCCAAACUACAUGACAUACUCUCUACAAUAACAUACAUAUCAUCAAAAGCAAGUAGAGAGUAAAGAAAGGUAUCACUCAAGUCAACUUUUACUAAGGUGUCUUCAUGUAUGUACUCACCACUAGUUUCAACAUCAUCUCUAUUAGUACUCUCAAUAAUAAGGUCACACAUAGUAGAAUAAGAAGUAAUUUACAAGCAAUAGACACUUUCUCCUCUUAUGGAAGAUCCCUCAAGUAUACACAUACCACCAUAAAAAUCAAAGAGAUUAUUUCUUUAGUCUUUACAAGAAGCAAGCAAUUCAUCCUUAUAAUUAUCAAACAAAGGUGGGGUUUCAUAACAAGGAUCAUAUUCGCAAUCAUUUUUCAAGGAAAAACCGCCUAUUGGGUUUCUUAAAUAUUCAAGCAAAUCAACACAUUCAUCACCUAAUUGGUUAUUCCUUUCCAAGACUACAUAUUCCUUACCCUUAAGAGUACUCUCAUCUUUCAAGAAGAGAUUUUCAUCUUUAGGAGGAAUGUUGUCACACCAUAGUGGUUAGCAUGUAGGCUAUAGUAUCCAAAGUAAUCUAUACCAUCAUUUUCACCACUAGGCUCAUUAGGAGUGUUUAUAUCAUCUUCAAAUAGGAUAUUAUUCCUAAAGAGAGAUGAUCUAAUCCACGGGCAGAUUCAGAACACGUGAGUUCUUCACCCUCUAAAAGAUCUAUUAAGUUUCAAAGCAGUUUCAAGCACAAGAUUGUUCCGAUAAUAGCUCUCGGGUUCACUCCCAUUUUGUUGACCAACAUUAUCAAAUUCUUCAUUCACUUGAGUUCUAUUAAUUACAACACACAUAACCUCAAGAGGUGGGCAAUUUUCACACACGAGUUGAUCAAUACAAGUUUCACAAGACGAUGUACGUUCAUUCAACACAAUGGCCUCAACACUAGAUGGACACAAAUCAAUCUUACAAGAAGAUUCAAUUCGGUCAUCAAUAGGAUCUACUGGUGUAUCUACUCUCACAACAUGUACAUCAUCAACAAUAGGUAAAGAAUCAAUCGACGAUGUACUUUCAUUCAUCACAUUGGCUUCAACACUAGGUGGACAUAAAUUGAUCUUACAAGAAGAGUCAAUUCGGUCAUCAAUAGGAUCAACUAGUGUAUCCACACUUACAACAUGUACAUCAUCAUCAAGAGGAAAAGAAACAAUAGACUCACAAAUAGAUAAGCUACCACUCACGCUCAAUGGGCUACUAGCCAUACAAUCAUCGUUCACAUGCACAAAAAUGUAAGAGUUAGCUAUUUUACCUUUAAGUUCUUGAGCACUUGCGUUGGUUUGGAUCAUGGUAGCCCACUUUCUCUUUUGAGAAGUUCUCAUCACAAGGGUGUUUUUCAAGUCUCCUCCUUUGUUUCACCUCUUCAUCUCUUUUCCCAAAAUUGGGAUUUAGUGCACUAAGCAUUUGGCAUAUCUCUUCAAUGGUUGGAAAUGAAGCUAUCACAAUGGUCAUUGAUGCGAUCAAACGUGUCAUUAAAAUUAUUGACAGCCAUGGCACCUAAAAGAAAGAAACAAACCUACAAAAUGAACAAAAAAGUUAGUUCACAUAUCCUCACCAACUCUCUCACUCUCGGAUUCUUGCCUCACACUUGGUCUCACAAGUGUUGAAACUUUGGCAUAUACUUGACAAGUGAGUGAGGCAUGAUUCUACUUUGGCCCAGAAUGGAUUUUCGUUUGAUAUGACUCAAAGAAAAUUGCUAACAAACUUAAACCAACAAGUUACAAAGAAUUACAAAUGAUAAAAGCACAAAAGAAACGUAGACACGAAACAAAGAACUCUAGACUAAUUAUCAACCUAGUAGGUAGUUACUAGUUUGGUAAUUAGUGGUAGAAUCAACACAAAAGCAACUAGAAACAACAAAUGGAAACUUAGAAAUCUAAUUUAGGACUCAAUUUGGUUGUUUAUAUAAGCAAUGACGUGGCAACUAUGAUUGGACGCCACUUUUCAAAAUUUUCAAAUCCCAAUUCACUUAUUUCGGCUAAACAUAAUUAGGAGAAGACGAAAUUUCAAUUUUAGGGGGAAAAUUGAAAGUUUGAAGCCUUUUUGGAGCUUCAAAUGAAUUCAAAAGUGGAUUGGUCCCCUCAAGUGUACUUUCAAUUGUACUUGUUUGUCCCCUUGUCCCCUCUUCCUUUUUGGAAGACUUAGAAUAUGCUAGGAAAUAUUCUUGUGCAAACACUUAGUACACUCUCUUUCUUCUCCCUUUUUGGAUCAAACAAGCUACUUGAAUAUUCUUCUUCAACAAAAUUUGAAGAUGAUGGAUAAACAAGAUGAAUAUUCAAGAGUUGACCAAGGUUUGACCACUAGGCAAAUGAAUCCCAAAUUCAAAUUUUCUUUUAGAUCUAGGUUCCUUUAGCCAAGAUAAUUCAAAUAUCAACAAAUCAGCCCCAACACACCACAAACAAGGUAUUCACCAUGAGAUCCCACCUCAAAAAACUUCAAACAAGGAACAACCAUGGUGGAUCUAGCUCAAAAACAACCAAAUCUUGCUCUAAACUUAGAUAUAGACCCUUUAAGUGCUAGAGAACAAGAAUCUAACAUUAGAAACUAUCAAAACAAGCUAAAAAUUAAUAGAUCUAAGUUGAGAAAUUCGGAUCUACUAUCACACACACAAGAUUCAACACUUUUUUUUGUAUUUUUUGACUCUAGACUCUUUUUUUUGUUGAGAUUUUCUUAGAUCCAAGGCUUAGAGUUGUGGAAACAACUCUAAUACAUGACUCCGAUACUAAAUGAUACAAGAACUAACCUAAUAAUUGAAAUUUAAGACUAAAGAAGCAAAAAUCAACAACUAGAAGAAGAGUAGAUGAAGAAGAGAACACACGAAUUGCAUUAAACGUAAAGAUAGAUAGUGAGACAUACACCUACAUCAAUGAAUAGCACCAAGGUGUGUAUCGAACACCAAAACACACAACACCAAUGGAGGAUAACACCACACUCUUAGGUGGACACAAAGGGAUCAACUCCUCAAGCACCCAACCUUUCUUGCCAAAAUAUCAACAAGAGUGAUUUGACACUCAAAGAUGACCCUAGUUUUAAUGUCUUUUCCAAGACCUACACUAAGAUGGCUUUUACAAGCCCUACACUAAGGAAAGAAAAUACAAUUUGAGUUUCACUCAAUCAAUUCUUCAAAACUAAGAAAAAUAAAAGCCUAAUUGUCUAUUUAUACUUAUUACAGACAAAGACUAAAAUACCCUUAAUGAAGGGUGCUCCUUUGGAAUGUAAAAGAGGAGUAUCAAAAGACCAUAAUACCCCUAAGUUAAGGCGCCCUUGGAGUUUAUCCUAGGCUGCCUUGGAGUAUAUUCAAGGUCUCUCUUCACAUAUUAGCAAGUACACUCCCUUAGAUGAAGGAACAUACUCUCACGAGCUUCCAUCUUCAUAAAUGGCGCCUUGUAUGUUUGGACUUGAAGAAUGAAGCCUCUUUCAUUCUUUCAAAAUCGAGGAUGGUUCAUUCUUCAAGGUUUAUGGUCCUCGGGUUAGUAUCAAGGCAUGCAUCCAAGCAACCUUUCACACACGGAAUUGCUUUAUGUCUUGCUCAAAACGGGUCUUCCUUGCAUAUUCUUGUGCCCUCGAGGUGACCAAGUGUUGGGCCUUUAGGUAUUGGUCUCCAAAGAAGUUAUCAAAAGCUAAGACGACCAUUUGACUUGUAUCAUACUCCCAAAAUUUAGAGAAAAUAUAGUUAGAAGAUCAACAUAAAGGAGUCAGAUAUAUGCACAACAAAUUCAAAACUGAAAACGAAGUUCUCAUUCAUUAAUUAUAAGCAUACUAAAAGGAUAAAUUACUUAAUACGAUAUGAAAAUGUUAUUAAUCUCAGAGAUUCAACCCUUUAUAGAGGACUUAUAAUUAUCAAAUGAAGGUCGGAUUUGUAGCCCAAAGGAGAAGAGAUAACAUAGGAUAGCUUGAAAACACAUUCCAUGGGUAUUGAGUGCACAACACCUAAUGAGAGUUUGAGGUGAAAUGUUGUCUAAAUCAUACCAAAGCUGGACAAAAUGUAAUAUUAGCUCACUAAAAAGCUACGUAGAAGCAUAGACAACGAGCAAUUGUAAACGGAAGAAAGUCACCUGAGCCACCGGAAAUUGCCUGAGGUUUUAGUUCAUCGAAAAUCGCUUGAGCCGUCGAAAGUUGUUGGAAGCUGGUUGAACUCAUUGGAUAACGUAGGAAAAUUUUUUCCACUUUCCUUUUUCAUUUUAGCACUUUGCCUGAUUUGGACAUUUAAUUUUCUCUUUUAUAUUUUUAGAUUGGGGUUAGUUUUGG